GGAUUAGAUACCCUGGUAGUCCACGCCGUAAACGAUGUCAACUAGCCGUUGGAAAUUUUACAUUUUUAGUGGCGCAGCUAACGCGAUAAGUUGACCGCCUGGGGAGUACGGACGCAAGUUUAAAACUCAAAUGAAUUGACGGGGGCCCGCACAAGCGGUGGAGCAUGUGGUUUAAUUCGAUGCAACGCGAAGAACCUUACCAAUUCUUGACAUCCAGAGAACUUUGCAGAGAUGCAUUGGUGCCUUCGGGAACUCUGAGACAGGUGCUGCAUGGCUGUCGUCAGCUCGUGCUG
rnacentral:rRNA from 1 species